rnacentral:rRNA from 1 species
AACCAAGAGGGUUAAGUUAUGUUUAUAACAGUAAAAAGACAGUUAGAUAUUAAUUGGUCGAAGUUUAUUUAGUGUUUAUUGAAAGGUAAAAUUUGAAUAUAAACACACAAUUCAAUUAAAACUAGUGUAUUGAAGCUGUGAUAGCCUUGAGGGAAACUGGGAUUAGAUACCCCAUUAUUCUUGGUUGUAAAUAAAUAUAAAAUUUACUAGAGUACUACGAAUCGCAAAAAUUUAAAACUCAAAGAGCUUGGCGGUGUUUUAGACCUUUUAGGGGAACCUGUCUUAUAAUCGACAAUCCACGUUACACCUGACCUUCUUUUGCUUUCAGUUUGUAUACCGUCGUCGUCAGGUAACUUUUUAAAAAACAGAAGUUAGCAGAAUAAUUAAGUAAAUUUAUACGUCAGAUCAAGGUGCAGUUGAUAAGAGGGUAGAGAUGGGUUACAAUUAUAAAAUUUUAAGACGAAACAGUUUAUUGAAAAAUAACUAUAAAGGAGGACUUGAAAGUAAAAUGAAAUACAUAAAUAUUUUGAAUGGGGCUCUGAAACGUGC